GGCAACAACAGUCUGCUGCGUUCAGCUUAUUCCCAGAAUUGUUACCAUCUUCCUUUAUUGGAGGAAGGAAACACUCGUCUGCAUGAAGCCACUAAUGUAAUUUAGCAUGGCAUGGCUGCAAGUAGCUGUCUACCCUAAUUGAGCAAUUGAAGAUGUGACAUGGUCAGCCAUCAAUUAUAGCGACAUAUCAAGAACACCAAUCUCCGGUUAAGUUCACGGAAUGAUUGUAAUAAAUGAUUGUUCUUAUGCAGAUUUCAGUACCCGAAUUUGUUCUCCUUUUUCCCUCCUCCUCAGAUGUCUGGACUCCGCAGCGGACUUAAUGUGAAGUAGUUGGACUUUAUUGUUGCUGAGGAAAACAAAACAACGCGUGCGUAUUCUAAAGUCAGCUGGAGAUGUCAGAAAGACAGCGAUAAAAAAAAAGAAGACAAGAAUCCUAAAAGUAAAAAAUCUGUUUGACAAAAAGGGUUUGACAGGUGUAAACCGAAUGCUCUCAGUAAAAAAAAAAAAAAAAAAGUCAGACUAUUAAUGCAUCAAUAUUAAUAAAACCACCUCCUUUCUUAAAGAAAAAUAUUAUUACCUACCUGCAAAUAUUCCUCUUCCACCCCAGACUUCUGUGCGCCUUUUCCAUUCUUUUGGCAGCGGCAGAAUGGUGUCUUUUCAGGGCGAAAAGAAAGGUAGGCCUCGGCCCAGACCUCUAACAUUAUGUAAAUGAGAUAAACCUCUCAACCUUGUGGAUUACUGAGUCAGAGAGCAGGACCCUGGUCCACAGACCCUCCACAUUAGGAUCCCAUAAAAAUCUGGAGCUAGUUAGCUGCAUGCAACGCUUAUGAGAGCUUAUAGUCCACAUUAAUAUAGUUGUAAGUCUAAGUUAAGUUUUACAUCCAGUGAAUAUGAUGUGGCCAAGGCAUGCAGGAGCGGGAUUCACGGAAGAAAGAAGCUCAUUCACGGAAGAAGGAAGAAGAAGGCCUAGCAAAGUGGCUCUUUCUCCCUGGAAGGAUGUCAGCUCUCUGUGCCUGGCCAUCCCUGAGGACGCUUGAUGUCAUCUUGUCUACCUGAUCAUUACACUACCUGCUCUACUCUGCAAUGCUGCCCUCUCGCUGCUCCGCCACUUGAAAUGCUUGGCUGGCCUCUUCUCUGAAACCAUCAUGAAAUUGUGUGCUAAAACUGCAGACUGUUCCUCCUCUCUCCUCCCUUCAGCCAUGUGUGCAGGAGCCAGAAAAAGAUUCCUCCACUCGGGCGCUUGCUGCUCAGUCAAAGGGAAAACACACAAAACAUCCUUCAGCUGUCUGCCACCUCUCACAGCUUUUAUUUGAUUUAUUGAUAUCUGUUGUGUAUGAUAUCUAAUACACAACAGCAAUAUCUAAUCCAGUUUAAGUUGAAACGGGAGUUAAUAAUUCAUAUGGAGAUUAUUGUCUGUUGUGCACUGAAAUCAGAGAUAAUUAUUUUUCAAAAUGCAAUUAUCAUUUCUUUCUGCAUCUUUAAAUGUAAUGUUUUCAUGCAUCGCAGCAAAGAUGAUGAUGUGGAUAACCAUGUCCAACAUUUCAUAAUUUGUAAAAAAAAA